rnacentral:lncRNA from 1 species
GGCAGCAACACGGCCACGCCACUGUGCUCGGAGCACGCGUCUGGACAGGACGGGACAGAGCGGUGCUGUGAGGAGUUUCCUCACAGCCAACUCGUUCCUCACUGACCCGAAGCAUUUCCGAGGAUUCUUCUACUAGCAACAUCCCUCGAGGCCAGACCACAGGAGCUGGUGACACGGAGCUUCUCCGAGGCACCACCACUCCUGGUGGAAGGUGCCCUCGAGGCCAGACCACGGGAGUUGGUGACCCAGAGCUUCUCCGAGGCAUCAUCACUCCCUGUGGAAGGUGCCCUUGAGGCCACACCACAGGACUUGGGGAUCCGCAGCUUGUCUGAGGGGUCUCCAAUCCCUGUGGAAGGUGCCCUUGAGGCCAGACCACAGGACUUGGGGACCCACAGCUUGUCUGAGGGGUCUCCAAUCCCUGUGGAAGGUGCCCUUGGGGUCAGACCACAGGACUUGGGGACCCACAGCUUGUCUGAGUGGUCUCCAAUCCCUGUGGAAGGUGCCCUUGAGGCCAGACCACAGGACUUGGGGACCCACAGUUUGUCUGAGGGGUCUCCAAUCCCUGUGAAAGGUCCCCUUGGGGCCAUUCUGCAGAACUUGAGAUCAGAGGCUUUUCCGAGUUGUCUCUCCUGCAGGUGCCCUCGAGGCCAGACUGUGGCAUGGCAGGGAGACGCUCUGGCCUGUGCAGGUUUCUCAGGAAGAAGAACGAAGGCCCUGGGCCUGCCCCAGCACGGCAACCUGAGGAGAUGCAAAACUUCCAGCCCCUGCAGCAGGAUCCAGGCCAGCACCGGACAGAAGAACACGUCCGUGCCCGCGGCCGCUUCCGCAGAGCAGUUCAGAGGUUUCUGAAAUUCAUAGGGAUUCGGCGUAGAACACCCAGGACCACACCACCUGAGGGCACGGCACAGCCUGACACCAGGCCAAACGACCCCAAGGCAAAGCCUGAUGUCGACUCCACGCUGACUGAUCCCACGGCAACCUCUGACACUGCUUUGACCCGUGACCUGACAAGCCCUAUCACCACACUGACCCACCUCAUGGCGACGGCUGAUAUCGCACCGAUUCAUUGUGCAGCAAACUCGGACACCGCUUUGGCUGAUGAGACAACCACCUCUGGCACAGCACCGACUGAUCUCAUGGCAAAGGCUGACAUCGCACUGAUGCUGAUGGGUGGCACAUCAAACCUUGACACGGCAUCAAUGGAUGGCACAGGAAUCUCUGGCACUGCGACGACUGAUGAAGUAACAAAUGCUGAAACCACACCGACUGAUGUCAUGGAAAAGUCCGACACCACAACGACUGAGAGCAUCGUGAACGCUGACACCACACCCACACACAGUGUGACUGAUGCUCCCAAUUUGGACUUUUUCAAGGAAAAAGGUGUCCCCAAUCAGAAGCAAGUAAGCAGUCUGUGGCCAGGGUUUGAGUCCCCCAGGGGUCUUGUGGCACCUCAAGCUUCAUCUGCUGGACCCCUAAGCUUUUGA